rnacentral:rRNA from 1 species
UACGUAGGGUGCAAGCGUUGUCCGGAAUUAUUGGGCGUAAAGAGCGCGCAGGCGGUCGUUCAAGUCGCGUGUGAAAGCCCCCGGCUCAACUGGGGAGGGUCACGCGAUACUGAUCGACUUGAAGGCAGGAGAGGGUAGUGGAAUUCCCGGUGUAGUGGUGAAAUGCGUAGAUAUCGGGAGGAACACCAGUGGCGAAGGCGACUCCCUGGACAGUUCUUGACGCUGAGGCGCGAAAGCUAGGGGAGCAAACGGG